AGACUUCUUCCCAAGAGAAGAGGGAUGAGGAAGAAGUGGCCCCUGAGAUUUGCUGCUGAGGACCAGAAGUGAAUGAGACAUCAUGAGGAGGCACUGGGGGCCGAAUGCUGCUGGGCACAGAUGAAGCAAUGUAUGAUAGGACCACUGACUGCACAGACUUCUUCUUCCCAAGAGAAGAAGGAUGAAGAAGAAGUGGCCCCUGAGAUUUGCUGCUGAGGACCAGAAGUAAAUGAGACAUCAUGAGGAAGCACUGGGGCCUGAAUGCUGCUGGGCACAGAUGAAGCAAUGUAUGAUAGGACCACUGACUGCACAGACUUCUUCUUCCCAAGAGAAGAGGGAUGAGGAAGAAGUGGCCCCUGAGAUUUGCUGCUGAGGACCAGAAGUGAAUGAGACAUCAUGAGGAAGCACUGGGGCCUGAAUGCUGCUGGGCACAGAUGAAGCAAUGUAUGAUAGGACCACUGAUUGCACAGACUUCUUCCCAAGAGAAGAGGGAUGAGGAAGAAGUGGCCCCUGAGAUUUGCUGCUGAGGACCAGAAGUGAAUGAGACAUCAUGAGGAAGCACUGGGGCCUGAAUGCUGCUGGGCACAGAUGAAGCAAUGUAUGAUAGGACCACUGAUUGCACAGACUUCUUCCCAAGAGAAGAGGGAUGAGGAAGAAGUGGCCCCUGAGAUUUGCUGCUGAGGACCAGAAGUGAAUGAGACAUCAUGAGGAAGCACUGGGGCCUGAAUGCUGCUGGGCACAGAUGAAGCAAUGUAUGAUAGGACCACUGAUUGCACAGACUUCUUCCCAAGAGAAGAGGGAUGAGGAAGGAUGUAACAGGAGGCCCUUCUUCAACUUCUGAUGUCAGUUAUGUACAGGUCUCCGUGAUAAAUGUGCUGUGAAUUUGCUAUGUCCCUUCUGUUCAACAACCCUCAUUUGCUUGCUUUGAACAUCUCUACUGUGGGAAUCACAGAGAUGCCCCUGAGGAUUCACACACUUUCCUUCUACUUUUUCCUUCACCCACUGGACAAGUAUCACCGAGUAAAUCAAGCUCCAGUACACAGGAGGGUUCAGAACGAAUUUCUCUUUGCAAAAGAUAAAUGCAUUCUGAUGCAGAAGGGUGGUGGUUUGCGAUCUUUGGUUUGAAUUGCGAAUACAAAAGUAAAAUGGCUGCCUAGCAAAACUAGCUGCCUGAGCCUGCACAGAAUGGAAGGUCUGGAUCCCCUAAGUCUGCCACCAGGACCACCAGAAAAUCUGAUAAAUAUAGAAGCACUUGAUAGAAGGCUCCUGGAUAAAGAUAGGCAGAAAUCAGAGGCCUUGUCCAUAUAGAUCCUGACUUCUUCAAAGAUGUUUGAUGAUAGUGGGUGCCUUAGAUCUCAUUCAUUUUUUCUCUUGUAACAUAUUUUUGGUGCUGGGAUAAGAUUCUACCCCUUCCUAAUAUAUCUGUCAUUGAUAGCAAAGGGAAACCAAAAAGUAAGUUCUUACAUAGACUUACUUCAUCAGAAUGAAGAAAAAGGCUGAAGACUGGGUCACUUGCUGACUUUCUUGCCCCCCCCCCCCCCCAGAUUGGAAUGGUGGGAGCAGAGCAAGAUCCUUGAUGGGCUAAUACUGUCAUUUUGUGGGACAAGUUUUACAGAUCGCCAGUAUACAGAUAAUUUCUGCCAGGCAAGGCCCUGGAAGUCAUUAGACUGGGCCUAUGGGAGGUCAAAUGGUUGCAGACUCCACUAAACAUUACAUUCCUCUAUGGGUACCCUGGGGCCAUUCACUAGUGUAAAACUUUGAUACAUAAGCUAGUGAACAAGGACCUGAACCAAGUGCACAGUUGUCCUGAGGUACAACUAGAAUGAGUGGAGGGGCAGAGCUUCAUGGUUUGCUUUUUAAAAGAUUAUAAAAGUUUCUU